GUCCCUAGAAGCAUCAGACUGUGUGCGAACAAAGAAGCACUUAACCGGUGAAGUGGUCGGGUUUUUCUUCUUUUCUUCUUUCCCUCCAUCUUUAAACACAAAAAAGCGGUACCGACGUAAACCAACGAGAAUCCCUUCUCUAGCUAACCUGCCAUACUUGGCAAAAUAAUCGAAAAUAAUCGAUUGAACUACUUGUUGAACAACUCUUGUCAGCAUCCUCUUCUGCAAACUUGACCAUCAAAACGUUAUCAUCCCCUAACGUCCUUUGAAGGAAAUUGCUCAUCAUAGUUAAAUAGGGGCCCUUGAACCUAUAAGUUCCAUCAGAACUAACAUGGCAAUGGUAAAUGUGUGUCCUGCCACAAUCCCAGACAAGAUACUUCACACGUUCAUGCUCCCUGAUAUAGCCACAUCUACUGCCCACAGCUUUCCAAAUUUCAGCCUCAAAUUUAGCCAUUGGCAAAUGUUCCAUCCGUCGAAUCUCAUCCGCAAAUAGCAC
rnacentral:misc_RNA from 1 species